rnacentral:rRNA from 1 species
GGCCAGAGACCGAUAGCGCACAAGUAGAGUGAUCGAAAGAUGAAAAGCACUUUGAAAAGAGAGUUAAAAAGUACGUGAAAUUGUUGAAAGGGAAGCGUUUAUGACCAGACUUGGGCUUGGUUAAUCAUCUGGGGUUCUCCCCAGUGCACUUUUCCAGUCCAGGCCAGCAUCAGUUUUCGCCGGGGGAUAAAGACUUCGGGAAUGUGGCUCUCUUCGGGGAGUGUUAUAGCCCGUUGUGUAAUACCCUGGCGGGGACUGAGGUUCGCGCAUCUGCAAGGAUGCUGGCGUAAUGGUCAUCAACGACCCGUCUUGAAACACGGACCAA